GAAGGCCUGUGUAACUUUAGCACACAUCUCCUGAAUGCAACCCAGGUGCUUUAAUUAAGCGAAAACCUCC
rnacentral:tRNA from 1 species